UGGGGAAUAUUGCGCAAUGGGCGAAAGCCUGACGCAGCAACGCCGCGUGAGUGAUGAAGGCCUUCGGGUCGUAAAGCUCUGUCGGAGGGAACGAAUGCUUCUGAGGUUAACAGCCUCGGGAGGUGACGGUACCCUCAAAGGAAGCACCGGCUAACUCUGUGCCCGCAGCCGCGGUAAUACGGAGGGGGCUAGCGUUGUUCGGAAUUACUGGGCGUAAAGCGCACGUAGGCGGCUUUGUAAGUUAGAGGUGAAAGCCCAGGGCUCAACCCUGGAAUUGCCUUUAAGACUGCAUCGCUUGAACAUCGGAGAGGUAAGUGGAAUUCCGAGUGUAGAGGUGAAAUUCGUAGAUAUUCGGAAGAACACCAGUGGCGAAGGCGACUUACUGGACGAUUGUUGACGCUGAGGUGCGAAAGCGUGGGGAGCAAA
rnacentral:rRNA from 1 species